rnacentral:rRNA from 1 species
UACGGAGGAUCCGAGCGUUAUCCGGAUUUAUUGGGUUUAAAGGGUGCGCAGGCGGGAGAUUAAGUCGGCGGUGAAAUUUUGCAGCUCAACUGUAAAAGUGCCUUCGAAACUGGUUUCCUUGAGUGUAGAUGAAGUAGGCGGAAUUUGUGGUGUAGCGGUGAAAUGCAUAGAUAUCACGAGGAACUCCGAUCGCGUAGGCAGCUUACUAGGCCAUAACUGACGCUCAUGCACGAAGGCGUGGGGAUCAAACAGGAUUAGAUACCCGGGUAGU